rnacentral:lncRNA from 1 species
CAAAGAACAUUUGUUUGAUGAAGACCCCGGUUUAAGGAGCCAACUGCAGCUCUGACUGCCUUAUUGUCACAUGAUAUAAGUGGGUUCUCCUUCAUUGUAAAUUCCCAUAGUUAAAUGUGGAAGACAACAGAUAUGUGGGGUUGUUUUGACAACUUUAUAGUUCUUUAAUUAGACACAAGUUGGAGUAUUUUUGAAGUAUGUAGUUCACUGGCACAGCGCUUGUCUUAUACACAAGCAGAGGCAGAGGUCAAUUUCCAGGACCAAAAAUAAAAAUAUAAAACUCAUUUAUAGCAUAAGUGCCAAAUGUUGGCAUCUAUCCUUACAACACAGUGCCAGGAAUGUAGAGUAUCAGAGGGGCUCAUACCGAGUAAUCUCACUUGCAGACUGGUCCUCUGGCUGCAUUUCUGAAGCAUCACCGUUGUUCAAAGAUUCACUCAGGUUGGCCAAAGAGGUCACUACAUUUGCCAGUGUACCUAGAGCUCCUUGGCUUGUUUCAGCCUAUUAAAAAAAUAAUAGUAAUAUAGUAACACUAAAAAAUGAGCAUACACAGGAGAAUGACUUAAGGGCAAUGAAAUGAAGAAGGUAUCAUGUUUAUCUAAGGCCAGCUUCUAGGUGUGAAUGGAGUCAUGCUAGGAAGAUCUUUUUGUAUAUCAACUGGAUCAGAAUGGAUCAGGCUUUUGUGUUUUUGUAUUUUGGUUACAGCCACAUACACAGAUCCACAUAUGUGAUGCAAUAACAUUGUGAUAAAAUGACAGAACAGAUAAAGUAGCACACCACUCCACCCAGCCCCAGUAGCAAAGUUUAAGCACAGAACUGAUUAAUAAAUUACGGUAGAACCACAACAUACUGUGCAGAUGGCACAAUGGGAGAUGACCUCUUGGACCAACAGACAUCUCAGUCUAUAAGUUCGUUAUUUAUGGCUCAUUUGUUAGCCUAUUACAAAUUAUCUAAUGGGAAAGAACUGGAGCUUUUACAAAAGGCUGCUUUAGAAAAAAUAGCUACCUUCCCAGCAUAAUGGGAGCCUGCCAAUAUGUAGAAUAAGGGGAUUACAUUAAUAGGGAACAGAACCAUAGAAUGUCUACAAAGAUGCCAUGUGAAGAACCAUUGAAUGUCCACAAAGCUGCCAUGUGAUAGUGACUAUUGCCAUUCAGCCCUGAGUGGAGUAUCUGAAAACCACAAGCAUCUUUAGAACAAGUCCUAGGAUGACUAUUAUCAUGAGAAAUUAAUGUAGCUACAGGAGGCUAUGCUUUCAGCAUCAUGUCUGAUGGCCAAGAGAGCAGGUAUAGUUGGAAAAGCAGCCUGCACUGCAACACAGGAGAGAGUGUUACCUUGGAAUCCGCGGCCAGGAGAACUGUACCAUCCUCACGUAUCAAAGGCUGUUGGAUGUUCACAAGCAUCCCUGGAUCAAGAAGACCUGUUUGUCUAUUUAAGACACAAAGAAACCCAGAGUAGUAUCUAACAUUUUCUGCACAUUAUGUUCAUGCUACAUUCAGUUGGCUUCCAUAUAUGCCAGGCAGUCUACAAGAGAAAAGCUGUAACAUUCAGCCCAGGGUGAGUGGCCACUUGUCUGCUCUCGCUCAUGAGCUCGUUACAAAGCUAGGCAUCAGGCUGAGGGAGCACAGAACACAGAUGCCUAACCCUAGGCCUUCUAUACUAACUGUGGCCAUUCUUCCCAAAGUUUAACUGAUACUCAAAGAAUUGUCCAGAGACCCUCAACUCCAGCUUUUGUGUAAUACAUUUUGGAUUUCUGGCUCCUUAUUUCAGUUCUCUUUAAAACCAGUUCAACACAGUGUGUUAAAAAGAAUGAACAAGUUAGUUUGUGGCAUCUGGUAUUUUCUUCUAUAUUG